GGGCCGGUUGUACGAAGGCUGGAUAGCGCUAUCCAUCGGAUACUGAUCUUCUCAAACUUUCUAAAAUUGUCUCUUGAUUAGUAUAACCUAUAAAUUAAAGCUUCAGUAAAAUAGUUUUAAGAUACAUAUCCGUUAUUUUAUAGUAUUUCAAGCAUUUUUACAACGGUUGAAAAAAUCUUUGGCGUGGAUAGCGCAUUCUGGCCUUCGUAUAACCCAUCACAAGUCAAUUAAGGUUACGAGCCACAUUGCAGUUAUUGUUCGCGGACGGUAGAAAAAAUUUUCUUUAGCUAAUAAAACUUUGUUUAGCUAAGUUUUUAUCGACAUCCUGGGAUCCUAAAGUGAACUUUUUGGAAAGUAUCAUACCAGUACAAAAGUGUGUGUGGCAGUUAUACAUGUAUAGGCUAUCUUAUUUUUGUCGUGUUACAUAAAACGUUUAAUUCCAAACUCUCGUCCUUACUUGAUUGUUUUGUGUUGAGACGCCAAUAAAAAAUGAAAAAUAUAUGAUAAGCUCCAGGAUAAAUUUAUACCUCUAAUUGUUUUUGCGCCCCUCAUGUGAAAAUUGGAAGGAAACUGGACAAAACUUCAACUUAACAAAAUAAUUACUUAAAUAUAGCAUGAGGUUUUCGAUUAUCAGAACAAAUAAACAUCGUCCAUUUUCUUGGAAUUAAAUGGGGUGACACCUUCUGAAAAGAAACUGUUUAUUCUCAUUGUAACCGUAGUUCAAUUAUACGGUUAGGUUACAGCUAGUAGAUAGAGCGUAUAUCGGUUACAUAAUGCAUUGACAUUCACCACGAUUUUUCUUUUCUAUUUGAGGCAUUAAAAUCCGCAAAUUGCUUAAAAAUUGUUUCAACAAACUCUCGUCAAAACAACGUAAAUGUUGCCUGCAUUAUAGUCGACUCUCAUUGAAGCAGAAAGAAAACGGGGAAAAAGGGCUUGUAAGAAAACCUGGCUUUCGUGACUAAACAAACCAAGUUAAGACUUUAUAACGGCGAAACCCUCGAUCUCAGUUGGUUUGAAUUCGAAGCUUCCCGCCAGUAGAGCUUUGGUUUGUGGAGUACCAUGUUGGUAUCCUUUAGGAGGUUGGUAUGUCUCACCAAGAUUGCUGUAUGAAAGAUCGUGUUCGAUGGCUUUUUC